rnacentral:rRNA from 1 species
UACGAAGGGGGCUAGCGUUGCUCGGAAUCACUGGGCGUAAAGGGUGCGUAGGCGGUUCUUUAAGUCAGGGGUGAAAUCCUGGAGCUCAACUCCAGAACUGCCCUUGAUACUGAGGAUCUUGAGUUCGGGAGAGGUGAGUGGAACUGCGAGUGUAGAGGUGAAAUUCGUAGAUAUUCGCAAGAACACCAGUGGCGAAGGCGGCUCACUGGCCCGAUACUGACGCUGAGGCGCGAAAGCGUGGGGAGCAAACAGG